UCGGGAAUCUUCGGCAAUGGACGAAAGUCUGACCGAGCAACGCCGCGUGAGUGAAGAAGGUUUUCGGAUCGUAAAACUCUGUUGUUAGAGAAGAACAAGGACGUUAGUAACUGAACGUCCCCUGACGGUAUCUAACCAGAAAGCCACGGCUAACUACGUGCCAGCAGCCGCGGUAAUACGUAGGUGGCAAGCGUUGUCCGGAUUUAUUGGGCGUAAAGCGAGCGCAGGCGGUUUCUUAAGUCUGAUGUGAAAGCCCCCGGCUCAACCGGGGAGGGUCAUUGGAAACUGGGUAACUUGAGUGCGGAAGAGGAGAGUGGAAUUCCAUGGGUAGCGGUGAAAUGCGUAGAUAUAUGGAGGAACACCAGUGGCGAAGGCGGCUCUCUGGUCUGUAACUGACGCUGAGGCUCGAAAGCGUGGGGAGCAAACAGA
rnacentral:rRNA from 1 species